rnacentral:rRNA from 1 species
UACGGAGGAUGCGAGCGUUAUCCGGAUUCAUUGGGUUUAAAGGGUGCGCAGGCGGCCUUCUAAGUCAGCGGUGAAAGUCCGGGGCCCAACCCCGGAAGUGCCGUUGAUACUGGGGGGCUGGAAUGCGGCCGGGGCGGGCGGAAUGUGGCGUGUAGCGGUGAAAUGCGUAGAUAUGCCACAGAACUCCGUUGGCGAAGGCGGCCCGCCAGGCCUGCAUUGACGCUCGGGCACGAAAGCGUGGGGAU